UUGUCCCAAGCUGCCUCAGAGAGCAGGAGUCCCUGGUGGCCCCCAGCCGUCAGGACUGAGAUGGGAAAGAGUGUGGGUGCCCCCAGGGGGGCUUUUCUGUAAAGUGACCGGGCCCAUGGGGGACAUGCAGUCACGGGUGACUGCAGGCCCCCGUGCGGCCAGGGCACCCAUGGGGCCUCUCGGGGAGGUCACCGUGGUGCCCGGCUCACAGCCCCCAGGAGGAAGCUACACGCGGGUACAGAGUGCAGGCUGGCGGCACCUUGGGGAGGUGGGGUCCCAUGGGUGGGUGGCCCUCGGAGGGGCCUUUGCCGACUGGCAGUGGGCUUCAUCCCGGGUGUCCCAGCCAGAGCCGCCAGGACACAGCUGGGGCAGGGCAGAGAGCCUGGCCCACCUCGUCAGGCUUGCAGCCAUCGGGGCACCCGGGGGGCGUCUGCUUGGCCCUGGGUGCUGCGUCAGCACAGCCAGGGCUGCGGGGAGGCUCUGCCCUCUGUUCUGGGGGGCGGCUGCCCGGGAACCUCCUGCCUCCAGGCUGACAGCCUUAAGGGGCUGUGGGUCGCCCAUGGGGUUCCUGUGGGCGCAAGAUGACCCUCGGCUUCCCCGGGGCCCCCUAGAGCCCCUCUUCUCUAAUGUCCUGUCCCCUGCCCUGCCUGCAGCCCCCAGCCUCAGCCCUGCCCCAUCCCCGGCAGCAAAACUCAACUCUGCAUUUCAGCCUGCAGCCCUCUGGUCCCCACACGUGAGAUGCUUCCCCUGACUUCCCAGGCCUAUGUGGCCUGGCCCGUUGGGCUCUCAGCCGCCGGAGACCCCUGGGCCUGGGUGCGACUGUCUCAGGCCCCCAAAUAGUUGGGGGGGCAUCACUGGACUCGUGAGCCCGUGACCCUGAUGGGCAUCCUGGCCAGAAAGCGGUGGGCAGGGUUGGGGGGCACCCGAGAUGGGGGUGGGGCAGCUGGCAGGCGCAGGGCGUCUGGGCCGGGCACCACGCACAGCCGCCUCCCCAGUUUCUCUCCGUCACCCAUUCCUCACCCGGACUCCAGGCCCUCAUGUAAGAAGCCAAGAUAAGGCCGAUUUGUGGGCUAAUCAGUUCGGGCCAAAGCAGGCAGGUGGGGCGCCCGUCGUCCCCCCAGCCCCACUGUGUCAACCGCCACGGGGACCCCUGCCCCGGGAGGUGAGCCCGGCCCGGGGGCCACGCUGCAGCUCGCUGGUCCAUUCAUCCGCUCACUCAGCGCUGGAGGAGCACCCAGAGCUGUCAGAAGUCAGAGGUCAGCAAGAGGCCGUACCCACUGCAGAGGUGGGAGGUGGCAGCACGGCAGGGCGAGCAGGGCCUGAGGGGGUGACCCGAGGGCAGAGGGCCUGGCAGGGGCCUGGGCGCCGGGCCCCAGUAGGAGCCGGCUUCCAAGGCCAGGCCGACUUUGGGGACCAAGCUCACUGCUGGGUGCUGGAGAGACAGGACCGGAGGAGUCCCCUCAUGGCCAGAGGGCCUCACCAAGCCUGUCGGGAGCCCAGAGUGUGUGUGGGGAUGGGGGGGCCGGGGGGGGGCCGGGCGCAAGUGCGUCCCCCGAGCCCCGGCUUCAGCCCAGCCUCUGGCCUGUGGGGGACACCAGACUCUACACCCGUGUGGGGACCUCUCCCCACACUGGCCAUUUCAUGUGCCCCCGGCAGCCCUCAGGGAUCUGAAGCUGGUCCUCACCCCACCCCUUGGGGGGCAGGCCUCUCUCCUGCCCCUCUGGCCAAGGACAGCUUCUGUGUCCAGCCCAGGACUCCCAGGUGUCCUGAGGACUCCGGGACCCCACAUCUGAGAGCCGCAACUGGACAGGGGCGGUCGCCGUGGGCCUCGUUCUCUGCCUGGUCCGGCAACCUGCCAGGGACAGGACAGAAGGCCAGCCAAUCCUGGAAGCGGGCCGCGCCCCCGGCCAGCAUGAUCCCAGCAAGUGUAUAAAUACACCUGCCGGGAGCCCACGCCCAGAGAACUCACACCCGCCUCAGACAGCGCUCCACACCUGGAGGAGUGCACACACCCGCCCCCCGGCCCCCCGCCCCCCCCCCCGGCGGCCCUGGAGAGGAACAGCAGCCAGGCCGGGAGGGGAAGGACCCAGCGCUGCCAGGACGAGUGACCUCGCGGCCGCAGCCUGGCCGUGCCAGCCAAGAGGGUCGUGCCUGGGCCCCGCUGACCCCGGCUACCAGCCCAGAACCAUGUCAUCAGGCCCGCAGGUGUGGCACACGGCCCUGCCGCCUGCCGGCAGGAGCAGCCCCACCGCCACAGUGCCCAGGUCCCGCGGCUCGGCCGGCAGCCCCA